rnacentral:lncRNA from 1 species
CAGGAGUGUACGUUUCAGUCAGCUCCUCGAUGAUGUCUGUUGUACACUGCCUGCUCUGCUGUUUCAGGAAUCUAUAAAAUGGACUCAAGUACCAUUUAAAUUAUCAGGAGGAACUUACCACAAGGGCCUGAUGGAUCCUGGACCAAAAUGAAAUAACAUGUGGAAUCUUAUUCCCAGGAGGUUUGUAAAUACAGGGCCAAUUUUCCGAGAGGAAGAUAGAUUUAAGAUGUUCUCCCUUAGCUCAUACCAGGAAAUUUAGAUCUGUGGGGUGAAUGUACUUCUUUCCUAUGCCCACAGGAGGUCAGUGAAACAUUAGGCCUAUGUUUUUUUAAAUUGCAGAACAAAAGAAUUUUGAACAGUGCUGGUCUACGAGUAGAAUGCUUCCACAUUCCAAUUCUUUACAAAAGAUAAGCUUUAUUUACUCAUAGGCUUCUCGCACGAGUGUUUGAGUUUCUGUGCAACCCCAAAGCCUGCAGUGCCCUGCUCUUUAGAGAGGAAGAACCACAGUCAUCAAGUGAGCAUGGACGAAGUAGAAUCAUCAGGCGACCCCUUAAAGGACGUAUCUACUAAAAACAUCCAGAGAGCUUGCCCAGCUGCCGAUCUGGGACUUUUGGUAGAACCCCACCAGGCCACUCAAUCCACGCAAGAAAUUGAAACAAGCAGCAGAGAUUGGGGGAAAUGUGCUGAAGGUGGCAGUCAAGUGGGGUCCAUUGAGGCACCACUUCUGCUGAUGUCUUCUACCAUCUUCCUGGAGUCUUCUGCCGUCUUCCUGGCCAAACUUGGAGCACUCCCAACCCUCCUCUGAGCUAGGAGUCAUUAAGCUGUUUUGGCUAGAUCCUCCAUGGACAUGUAGCAGAGUAUUUAUAUCCCACCUGCUUUUUUUCCCUAAUGUCAACAACUCAACUGACUUUGGUGUUUUCUUUGCUGCAUUAGAAGAAGUCAGUUUCUCUUAUGGACAGGAAGGUGACCUUCUCUUGAAUAAAAUACAUUUUUCCUACUAGCA